CAUAACCCUAAAUAAUCUCGACUCACGUUGCAGCUAUACUGUCGAUUCUCCGACAAAUUGAAUGACCCAAGCUGAUCAGUGAUAAACUGUGUCCCGUAACGAUUCUCCUGCUCCUUCUCAGCCGUCUCCGACAAUAUUGAGGCCCUACAGCCUGUCACUGCCAACGACUGUUUCCUCUCCUCGUCGGCCAAACAUGGGAGCCUGGGUGUAGCCCCUGCAGAUGUCAGUCCUCUAGUUGCUUCCGGAACAUCCACAUUGUUGUGUUUUUGGAAAUAUUUAUUGCGAAAAGUUGGGAAAUAAGUUGAGUGUCAGGGAAAAAGUUGAGUGUUUGAUAUGGCUGUUUCACAACUUCGAGUGAUGAUGAUAAGAGCUGGAGUCAACAAUUUUUUACAGAGUUAAUUGUGGGUCACUGAGAGAAACUAGGUCUAUUGACGGGAGCACGACUGUGAAUAAUCGAUUACAUUGGAAUCAAUUCAUCAAUUAAUGAGUAAUUAUUGAAUUGCAACGACGCCCUCCAGGCACUCCUUGAAAACGAAAAGUAAGGGAGUUUCUAAGGAGGAACCCGAUGAGCUAGACCAACCGAUCGUGUACUCGGAGUCUCCAGCUGCGACUUGGGCAGCUAGACAUAGUUUCAGCG